rnacentral:misc_RNA from 1 species
AACUGAUACUACCUGCGGGAACCUGCGGAGGGAUCAUUGCUGGAACGCGCCCCAGGCGCACCCAGAAACCCUUUGUGAACUUAUACCUUACUGUUGCCUCGGCGCAUGCCGGCCCCCAGGGGCCCCUCGGAGACGAGGAGCAGGCACGCCGGCGGCCAACCUAACUCUUGUUUUUACACUGAAACUCUGAGAAAAAAAACAAAAUGAAUCAAAACUUUCAGCAAUGGAUCUCUAGAUCGG